rnacentral:tRNA from 2 species
GCGGGCGUGGCGAAACUGGUAGACGCGCUGGAUUUAGGUUCCUGUGGGGCAACCCGUAAGAGUUCGAUUCUCUUCGCCCGCACCA